rnacentral:rRNA from 1 species
AUUGAACGCUGGCGGCAGGCCUAACACAUGCAAGUCGAGCGAGCGGCGGACGGGUGAGUAAUGUAUGGGGACUGCCCGAUAGAGGGGGAUAACUACUGGUAACGGUAGCUAAUACCGCAUACUAUCGGAUAACCCAUAUGGGAUUAGCUAUUAGUUGAGGUAAUGGCUCCCCUAGGCGACGAUCCCUAUCUGGUCUGAGAGGAUGAUCAGCCACACUGGGAGUGAGACACGGCCCAGACUCAUACGGAGGCAGCAGUGGGGAAUAUUGCACAAGGGGCGCAAGGCUGAUGCAGCCAUGCCGCGUGGAGGAAGAAGGCCCGAGGGUUGGAAAGUACUUUUGGCAGAGAAGCGGUAUCUGCAGAAUAAGCACCGGCUAACUACGUGCCAGCAGCCGCGGUAAUUC